rnacentral:rRNA from 1 species
CUUUACUGCAAGCUGAUAUGGGCACUAGGUAUGUUUUGUGUAGGAUAGGUGGGAGGCUAUGAAGCGGGUGCGCAAGCACUCGUCGAGCCGUCGUUGAAAUACCACCCUGAACCUGCUUGGUGUCUAACACCGUUCUGUGAAUCCAGGCGGUGGACAGUGUCAGUUGGGCAGUUUGACUGGGGCGGUCUCCUCCCAAAGAGUAACGGAGGAGCUCAAAGGUACCCUCAGCCUGGUUGGCAAUCAGGCUUAGAGCGUAAAGGUAGAAGGGUGCUUGACUGCGAGACUCAUGAGUCGAGCAGAGACGAAAGUCGGACUUAGUGAUCCGGCGGUUCCGAAUGGAAGGGCCGUCGCUCAACAGAUAAAAGGUA